GAGGGGCAGCAUGGUCUUAGCUUGCUAAGGCCGAUGGCGACCGGCGCACGGGUGAGUAACACGUAUCCAACCUGCCGUCUACUCUUGGACAGCCUUCUGAAAGGAAGAUUAAUACAAGAUGGCAUCAUGAGUCCACAUGUUCACAUGAUUAAAGGUAUUCCGGUAGACGAUGGGGAUGCGUUCCAUUAGAUAGUAGGCGGGGUAACGGCCCACCUAGUCUUCGAUGGAUAGGGGUUCUGAGAGGAAGGUCCCCCACAUUGGAACUGAGACACGGUCCAAACUCCUACGGGAGGCAGCAGUGAGGAAUAUUGGUCAAUGGGCGAGAGCCUGAACCAGCCAAGUAGCGUGAAGGAUGACUGCCCUAUGGGUUGUAAACUUCUUUUAUAAAGGAAUAAGGUCGGGUAUGUAUACCCGUUUGCAUGUACUUUAUGAAUAAGGAUCGGCUAACUCCGUGCCAGCAGCCGCGGUAAUACGGAGGAUCCGAGCGUUAUCCGGAUUUAUUGGGUUUAAAGGGAGCGUAGAUGGAUGUUUAAGUCAGUUGUGAAAGUUUGCGGCUCAACCGUAAAAUUGCAGUUGAUACUGGAUAUCUUGAGUGCAGUUGAGGCAGGCGGAAUUCGUGGUGUAGCGGUGAAAUGCUUAGAUAUCACGAAG
rnacentral:rRNA from 1 species